rnacentral:rRNA from 1 species
GGCGGACGGGUGAGUAACGCGUAGGAAUCUACCUAGUAGUGGGGGAUAGCCAAGGGAAACUUUGGGUAAUACCGCAUACGAUCUAAGGAUGAAAGGGGGCCUCUCUUUGAAGCUCUCGCUAUUAGAUGAGCCUGCGUAAGAUUAGCUUGUUGGUGAGGUAAUGGCUCACCAAGGCGACGAUCUUUAGCUGGUCUGAGAGGAUGAUCAGUCACACUGGAACUGAGACACGGUCCAGACUCCUACGGGAGGCAGCAGUCGGGAAUAUUGGACAAUGGGGGAAACCCUGAUCCAGCCAUGCCGCGUGUGUGAAGAAGGCCCUAGGGUUGUAAAGCACUUUUAGUAGUGAGGAAGGCUCAGUAGUUAAUACCUACUGGGAUUGACGUUAGCUACAGAAAAAGCACCGGCUAAUUUCGUGCCAGCAGCCGCGGUAAUACGAAAGGUGCAAGCGUUAAUCGGAAUUACUGGGCGUAAAGCGCGC